CAUCAACAAGCUUCAGAGCAACCGGAUGCCAGGACUCUCAGAGUGACUGCAAGUCUCUCUUGUAAACUUACUGGAUUAGGAUGAGUUCUUCUAAGGUGAAUGAAAGGCUCGAUCCGACGAAGUAGGUCAUCAAAUCAAAUCAAAGCACUGAUGUCAAUGCUGCUGCCAGUUCUGCCGUUAAUCUUUUUCUUCUUCUUCUAGUCCGUAGAACGAGCAAAGUUGGUAGCCUUUGCUCAUUAGCAACACCUCUGUAAGGAGAAGACUGCAACUAGUG